AAGGUGAUUGGGCAUAUGAUGGCAUCUAUGAUCAAAAUGCACCCCUUUUAUUGCCCUUGCUUUUUAAUAUUUUGCCUUGCAAUUGAGGUUUUCAUCAAAUGCAUUCUUUCUCAAAUUCAUGCAAAGAAAAACUCGUUUAUUCCUCCCUGCUUUUAAAUAUUGUGCCUUGCAAUGAGAAGGCUUCAUUAAAAGUAUUCCUCCUCAAAUUAAUACAAAGAAAUACUCAUCUUCAUCUCUUGCAAUCAGUGAAUCAAAGAGAGGGAGAUGGCUGAAACCUUGGUUAAACUGGUGGUAACCAAGCUUUCAGACCUGGUUACCCACGAGGUGCAGUUGUUGCGUGGUGUGAGAGAUAAGGUGAGCUGGUUGGAAAACGAGCUCCGUUGGAUUAAAGGCUUUCUCAAGGAUGCUGAUGCAAAAGGAAAGAGAGAUGAAAGGGUGAAGAACUGGGUGAUUGAUGUAACUGAAGUUGCUUACCAAGCUGAAGCCACCAUUGAUGCUUUCCUCGUCCAGGUUCGUUCAAGCAGCAUUUUCAACAGGUUGAAAGCAAGGCGUUAUGUUAGUAAGGAGAUUGGCAAAAUAAAAGAAAAGCUUAAUGAGAUCAAGGCUAGGAUAAAGUUGUAUAGGAUUCAACUCUCGGGUGACGAUGGAGAUGCUUUGAACUUAAUGACGGUGAGGAGACGCCAUUUCCUACCUCAACCUGAUGAUGCUGAUAUAGUCGGACGCUUUAAUGAUGAGAAGAUCCUACUUGAACGAUUACUGAUGAAUCACCAUUGCCAACAACAACAACAAGGGUCUUGUGUCAUUAGCAUUGUUGGCAUUGGUGGUCUCGGUAAAACCACCCUUGCUCGCAAACUUUGUAAAAGCAAUGCUGUCAGCAAUCAUUUUCACAAGUGCAUUUGGCUAACAGUUUCUCAAGAAAAUAGUUUAAUGGAGCUUUUGAGGAAGAUGCUCAUACAAGUUCCUGGCAUUAGAGAGGAGGACUUGAAGAACAAGGAAGAAAAUGAUUUGAUGGACAUGAUUAAUGACUCACUAAGAACACAAAGGAUUCUCAUUGUAUUGGAUGAUAUUUGGCUAGAGGAUGUUUGUGAAUGGAUGCAAGGAAUUUUUCGGAAUGUGAACAAUGGGAGCAGGGUCUUGAUCACCACUCGGUUUCAUAAUGUUGCCAAGAGAGCAGAUUCAAGAAGCACUCCGUACCAACUUCAGUUGUUGAAUGAAGAUGAGAGCAUGGAUCUUCUUCUGAAGAAGGCCUUUCCUCAUCAUGAAGAUCCUGAGGAAAAUUGUUCCAGUGAUUUGCUUGAUAUUUGUUGUUGUCUCAUGCGUAAAUGCUGCGGCUUACCUCUGGCUUUGGUUGUGCUUGGAGGUUUCCUAGCAGACAAAGCACUAUUGAGUGGAGCAGAGUGUUGGAGACGAUGAAUUGGGAGGCAGAAGCUAAAACUAGAGCAUGUCAAGAAAUACUAGCACUGAGCUAUGAAGAUCUUCCGCGUCAUAUGAAAUUAUGUUUUCUUUAUUUCGGUGCUUACCCUGAGGAUUAUGAGAUUUAUGGCACUGAGUUAAUCAGGAAAUGGAUUGCAGAAGGCUUCAUACCACAGAAAGAAAAUAAGACAAUGGAGGAGACAGGGAAGGCUAUUUUAAAGGAGUUGGUACAAAGGAGCUUGAUUCAUGCAAAUAAGCGGGAAAGCAAUGGGUGUGUGUGAAGACAUGCAAUGUUCAUGAUCUACUAUUGGAUUUUGCAAGAUCUGCAGCUAAGAAAGACCGCUUUCUCACUGUCUGCUCCACUCAAAAUGGUCACCCAGUUUCUUUGACAUCGUCGUCGCCUCACCGGGUGGCAAUUCACAUCAUCGAUGACCCCUUGACCAAUGAAAUCAGUACAAGGAACGUUGGACUGAGGACUUUAAUGGUAUUUGCUCCAGUGUAUAUUAAAAUAAAAGUUAGUUCUCCAGAAAUAGUUUCCGCAAUGUUUACAUUUCAGUUUCUAAGAGUGCUUGACUUGGCUGCGAUAGGACUCCUAGACAGAAUACCAGAAGAGAUCAAGCUCCCAAUUCAUUUACGCUAUUUAAGACUGUUUGGUGUGCGUGAUGGACUGGAUGAUCCAGGCCUACCAUCGUCUAUAGGAAACCUUCCAUUUUUACAGACUAUUGACAUAUGGAGUCCACCAGAGAUACUAGUACCCAUCACACUAUGGAAGAUCAAGACACUAAGACAUGUAUUACUCUCAUGGUGCACACCACCACAAAGUGUGAAGCUAGAAGAUCUCCUCACACUUGAUUAUGUGACAUUUGGUUGCCAUGAAUUGAGAGUGUUGAUAUCUAAGGAACACCAUGGAGCAAUGCUAACCCAGCUACUCAGUGAACUACGCCAUCUUAUCAGCUUGCAUAUACAAGCGGGUCAAGGAUGUCAUAUAGAAAUCAACACAACAAAUGACUUUCCAUUUCACAACACCCUUCAGUCAUUGACUUUAGGUGGACCUUGGCCAAUGGGGAACGACAUAUCUGAAUUUCCAAUUUAUCUCACCAAGAUUGAACUCCUUGAUUCUAAAUUGAAGGAAGACCCAAUGCCCAAAUUAGAGAGGCUACAAUACCUUGUCACUCUCAAAUUCUUUGCAUCUGUGUAUUUUGGGGAAACCAUGGUAUGCUCUGCAGGUGGAUUCCCUAGUUUGGAAAUUCUGUUCAUUACCUGCUGGGUUCAAGACAAAGUAAAUGGAGGAUGGGAGCGUAGUCAGUGGAACUCAAUGCCCAAUCUUGAGGAGUGGAGGAUAGAGAAAGGUGCAAUGCCCAAACUUACUUUCCUACAUUUCACUUCAUGUGAGAAACUGAAAAUGCUUCCAGAUUUUCAUCAUGUGACGAGCCUUCAGAAAUUGGAGUUGUUUGGCAUGUCUAAAAAGCUCAUCCGCAGGACAAAGAGGGAGGAUUCGCACAAGACUCGGCAUGUGCCAAAAAUCUGCAGUAGUACUGGACAAGAGCCGCCCUUCGGAGCUGGCUGCUGGGUUGACUCAGACGAAGGUGAGCUUUCAGAUGCUGGAGAGGGCAUUUCCACGGUCGCCAAGGGUGACGAGGAGGUCGGAGCCGAGGACAAGGCGGAUAACCAGGAGGUCAGAGCCAAGGAAGACGAUUAAGACUAGGGUGAUGCUUUGUCUGAGGAUGACGAGGAGGUUGGAGCGGUGAUGAGGAUUAAGACGAAGUUGGUGCGCUGUCUAUCUUAAAGUUCCAGUGGAAUUGGUGUUUUUG